rnacentral:lncRNA from 1 species
AAAGAAUUGCUGUCUUCUGGAAUGCCUGAACAAGUACAAUCAGGCAUGUAACCGCUUGUGAAUAAUGCAGCUGCUGCUAAUAUGCCUUUGUCCCAAUAGACGGCUUCUUCACAAUAAAAAUAUAUAGGGGUCUGGGAGGUAUGUCCACUUCUUUUUUAAACCUAGAUUAAAGUUUAUCUCUCUGAUUUUACAGUGUCUAGAAGUUUCUCAAGAAUUUCAGUUUGUUCUAGACUUUCAGUAUAUAAUUUGUUUUUCUUGUUAAAUUGGCCACACAAAUCUUUCAUUAGCAAUUCAUUUUGUUUAGUACCAGAGAGAGAUAUAGGGCCCUUAAUCGAAUGAGAACAGAAAACCUACAUGGGCAGAAAAUCUACAUGGUUUUAAAUUCAAUACAAUAGGAUGUCCCUGAUGGAUAAUAUGAUAUUUGAACCUAUACUGUUAAAUAAAACAGGAGGAUGAUGGUACUAUGCCCCAACGAGAUCUAAACUUCGAUAACCCUAUUGAAUUGACGGUAUAGGUGGUUGAAAUGAUGGAUUCAUAACAUAAAAUGCAUGUUAUGACGACCCUUAAUCGAAUUAGAAUUGAAAACACAUAGUUUUAAAUUCAAUACAAUAGAAUCGGAUGUCCCUGAAUAGAUGGAUUGUAUUGUGUCUCGAUGACCCUAUUGAAUUGACGGUAUCGGUGGUUGAAAUGAUGCAUUCAUAACAUAAAAUGCAUGUUAUGACGACCCUUAAUCGAAUGAGAAUAAAAAACUUACAUGGUUUUAAAUUCAAUACAAUAGUCCCUGAUGGAUAAUGUUAUAUUUGAAAAUUCAAUACAAUAGUCCCUGAUGGAUAAUAUGAUAUUUGAACCUAUAUAGUUCAAUAAAAUGGGAGGAUGAUGAUACUGUGCCCCAACGAGAUCUAAACUUGGAUAAAUUGAAUUGACGGCAAAAAGUAGAUGUAUUGUGUCUCGAUGACCCUAUUGAAUUUACGGUAUCAGAGGC